rnacentral:rRNA from 1 species
GACAGAGGUGCCGAGCGUUAGGCGGAAUCACUGGGCUUAAAGCGUGUGUAGGCGGACCGUUAAGUACCUUGUGAAAUCCCACGGCUCAACCGUGGAACGGCUGGGUAUACUGGCGGUCUUGGGCCACCUAGGGGCAACCGGAACAAGCGGUGGAGCGGUGAAAUGCGUAGAUAUCGCUUGGAACGCCGACGGUGAAAACAGGUUGCUGGGGGUGUGCCGACGCUGAGACACGAAAGCCAGGGGAGCGAACGGG